AAAUGAAUUGACGGGGGCCCGCACAAGCAGAGGAGCAUGUGGCUUAAUUCGAUGCAACGCGAAGAACCUUACCCGGGCUUGACAUGCGGCUGCGCGGCCCGCGAAAGCGGGCCUCCUUCGAGGGAGCCGCACAGGUGCUGCAUGGCUGUCGUCAGUUCGUGCCGUGAGGUGUUUGGUUAAGUCCAGCAACGAACGCAACCCCUGUGUCCAGUUGCCAUCGCGUAACGGCGGGAACUCUGGACAGACCGCCCGUUCACACGGGAGGAAGGUGGGGACGACGUCAAGUCAGUAUGGCCCUUACGCCCGGGGCCGCACACGUGCUACAAUGGUCGGCACAGAGGGAAGCGAGGCCGCGAGGCGGAGCCAACCCCCCAAAACCGGCCCCAGUUCGGAUCGGGGUCUGCAACCCGACCCCGUGAAGUCGGAUUUGCUAGUAACGGCGCAUCAGCUACGGCGCCGUGAAUACGUUCCCGGGCCUUGCACACACCGCCCGU
rnacentral:rRNA from 1 species